rnacentral:rRNA from 1 species
GACGAACGCUGGCGGCGUGCUUAACACAUGCAAGUCGAACGGAAAGGCCCUGCUUUUGUGGGGUGCUCGAGUGGCGAACGGGUGAGUAACACGUGAGUAACCUGCCCCUGACUUUGGGAUAACUUCAGGCAACUGGGGCUAAUACCGGAUAGGAGCUCCUGCUGCAUGGUGGGGGUUGGAAAGUUUCGGCGGUUGGGUAUGGACUCGCGGCUUAUCAGCUUGUUGGUGGGGUGGUGGCUUACCAAGGCCUUGACGGGUAGCCGGCCUGAGUGGGUGACCGGCCAGAUUGGGACGGAGAUACGGCCCAGACUGCUACGGGCGGCAGGAGUGGGGAAUGUAGCACAAUGGGCGGAAGCCUGAUGCAGCAACGCCGCGUGCGUGAUGGCGGCCUUCGGGUUGUAAGCCGCUUUCGCCUGUGACGGAGCGUGAGUGACGGUACUGGGUAAAGAAGCACCGGCUAACUCCGU